UUGACUCGUAGGCCUGUUGCGGGCAAAUCAGGUGGAUGUGCGUAUCGAAGCCGCCAGCAGUGACGAUCAUGUGCUCGCCGGCGAUCACGUCGGUGCCGUUGCCUACAAUCAUGUUGGGAGACACGCCUGGCAUGACGUCUGGGUUGCCGGCUUUGCCAAUGCCGGCGAUGAGCUGAUUCUUGAUGCCGAUAUCGGCUUUGUAGAUGCCAGUCCAGUCGAUAAUGAGAGCGUUGGUGAUGACCGUGUCGAGGACUUCGGCGUCCGGGCGAUUCGAGGCCUGGCCCAUUCCUUCGCGCAG
rnacentral:sRNA from 1 species